rnacentral:tRNA from 1 species
GGACGUGUGCCCGAAAGAUAGGAGUUACUUUGAUAGAGUAAUAUAUAGAGGUUCAAAUCCUCUCAUCUCCU